UCAAGAGGGGUUUCGCCCCUGUAGGACCUCCCCAAGAGAAGAUUUGACCAAUCAGGAUGAGUUCUGGGGUGGGGUGACCCGACCAGAAACGAUUCGCGUGUGACCCCUCUAACGACUCCUCCCACCGACCUCUACCAAUCAGGCUGCCCAGAGACCAGAUUUAACCAAAAUAGGGCACGUUCGGGGACGGGGUGAACCGCCCAGAAGAGGGGCAUGUGACCCCUCUGCCAAUCAGAGUGCAGCACCAUCACCCCAUAUGUCCCAGCGUCGGGCGGAAGAGGCUGUCUUUUACCAAGAGCACGUGUUUUACAAAUCGUGGAAACAUGGACUCCUUCACCACCCCCGUGAGAACUUCGGACUUUGUUUUAGCCCCGAGGGCCUUCGACAAACCGCGGAGAAAGCGCUACAUCAGCGACAGUUCCGAGGAGGAGGAGGGGGCGAUUGAGGGGAGCCCUUUGGCCCAGCCAUUGAUGGAUACCCUGAAACCCAGCCGCUUGUGGGGCCCCACGAUGAGUGUGAUGGCCUCUUGUUGUCCACCCCCCUGGAGGAGGAAGGUGAUCGCAGCUCGGGGAAGUCACUAGUGGACAAGAUGAACGGAAGAGACAAGGCUCAGCUCGAUGAUGCCUUUCUGGAGGCCUUUGAGAACUUACACAUCGGUAGCCCUGUGGGAGUAAAUGUAUCAUGCAUCAGCUGUUUCUGCUCAUGUCUGAGACACAGAUCUCAAGAGGAAAAGGACAAAAUGGAAGAAUGAACCAGCACAGACACCCUCAUGUUAGGAGUCAUGGCGUCCAUUUUUACAGGCGGUUGUAAAAGGUUGUGUUAAACCAGGCGAUUAAUAAAACUUAUUUAAAUG